GACGAACCGAGCGAACGUUAUUCGGAAUCACUGGGCUUAAAGGGCGCGUAGGCGGGCCGUCAAGUCGAGGGUGAAAUCCCCCAGCUCAACUGGGGAAGUGCCUCCGAUACUGGCGGCCUCGAGGGGGAUAGGGGCAUGCGGAACUUCCGGUGGAGCGGUGAAAUGCGUAGAUAUCGGAAGGAACACCGGUGGCGAAAGCGGCGUGCUGGAUCCCUUCUGACGCUGAGGCGCGAAAGCCAGGGGAGCGAGCGGG
rnacentral:rRNA from 1 species